UCAGGGUUUUGGUCCCAUUGCUUCCUUCUUCGUUCUAGUUUUCAAUUCCAUUGCAGAGAGAGAUAACAAGUUUUAAAGCAGAGAUUGUUGCCUGUGAAAGCCGAACAAAGCAAAUCAGCACAAAAUUCGAAGACGCGACUCGAGACAAUAACGGCAGCGAAGCGAUGGCUGCAGAUCUCUUACCACCGUCUACGACGGAACAAGCCAAUGAGGAAGUUGAUAACUCGAAGUCGAACCUCACCACUUGUCCUGUUGGAUAUGACGAGGUCACUAGCGAAGCUUACAAGUCUUUAAACCCUCUGGUUAUUUCAGUGGUUUACUCCCCAGCGUUUUUUGAUGAAAAGUUUCGUAUCAGGCUCUACACUACAGAGCUCAUUUUAAACUCGGGAGCAAUGGCCUAACUGCAGCUACAUAUAUCCAGCGUGUGACACCCUGUCUAUCUUUGGGUAUAUAAUGGAAGCAAACUACACUUUGGUGUAGGUUAUGCUUCAAGAUACGAGACUGAUAAGAUGGUUGCAUCGGGGCAAGUUCUUAGCAGUGGUAAUGUAUUUAUGACCUAUGUUCAUAAGAUUUCAAAGAAGGUUUCACUCGCCACUGAUUUUGCGUACAAUUGCUUUUCAAGAGUUGUUGAAGCUAGUGUUGGAUAUGACUGGAAUUCUAAACAGUCUCGUGUCCAGGGAAAGAUUGAUUCUAACGGUGUUGUAUCUGCACUUCUUGGAAAGGAAUUAAAUAUGGGACUCGAGUGUCUUCUUUCUGCAAAUUUGGAUCAUAAGAACAAGGAUUACAAGCUUGGUAUGAGCUUAGCAUAUUGCUCACCAGUCACCACUCUCUUCGUGAAAUAGUUACCAACUCUUUCUAUGAAAUUUGUAUUUGGUAAACAUAAAUGUGAUGAAAUCUGAAUGAUGAAUGAACCACAACUAUAUAAUUGAUUAAUAUAAUUA